GCCCCCGUAGCUCAGGGGAUAGAGCAUUGGUUUCCGGUACCAAAGGUCGAAGGUUCGAAUCCUUUCGGGGGCA
rnacentral:tRNA from 1 species